GUAGAUGGCUCUUACUAUGUUGUUCAGGCUGGUCUCUUACUCCUGGCCUCAAGUGAUCCUCCUGCCUCAGCCUCCCAGUGUUGGGACUACAAGCACCAGCCACUGCCCCCAACCCUGCAUUAUGUUCUUAAAGGCAGACCUGAAUCCUGUGCGGUGUCAAUUCAGGUGUGCACUGGCCCCUGAGCCUUACAUACAGGACCCGUUCCUUAGGAUGACGUUGCGUUCCCUUGCUUAGAGCCUCAGCACCAUGGCACCUGGCUCUCCCCCGAUGCCUGGGUCUUGCUCUUGCCCAUUUCCUAGCCAGGGUUUGUGGUCCAGGCAACCUGUCACAUCAGUGUGUUCCAAACAUGGCACCCAGAUCUCAAAAGCUUCUUCAACGCUCCCAUGGUUUGGGAUACACCUCAAGUUUUAACUUACGUACUUCAAGUUUCUUUUAUUCAAUUAGAUACAAACCGUCUGACUUUUGGCUUCUGAAACAGGAAAGUCAAUUUUGUUGUUUUCACUGUACCAUGCUUUUUUAUCUCAGAAUCUUGAUGAACUCUGAAAUGACCCCUGAUGGGGGCAUGCCUCUAUUUAUGCUGAAUAAGAGCCAUUUUACAUUUUACUACAGGUUGAGUGCCCCUAAUCCAAAAAUUUGAAAUGCUCCAAAAUCUGAAACUUUUUGAGCACUUACAUGGUAUUGAAAGGAAAUGCUCAUUGGAACAUUUCCUAUUAGGCAUGCUCAGCCGUUAAGCAUAAUGCAAAUAUUAAAAAAAAAAAUUUCCUAAAUCUUUUAAUACUUCUGGUUCCAAGCAUUUCAGAUAAGGGAUACUCAAGCUCUACCUAUUCCCAAAUUCCCACUAACUAGCUCUUUGGCAGGUCUAUGGAAUAAAAAUCGAUGCUUCUGAUUACUUUAAGGCAUUAUAACCUCAUGAAGUGGUUUCUGAGAUGCAACUGAGUUUUUGUGCUAUUUUAUUGUAUUCUUAUAUCUUUGAAGAUGAAUAAUCCACGUAGUGCAUUUGAGAGGUUCUAUCUGUUCAAGAGAGGAAAUUUAAUAUCCGUGACUACUGUAUGUCAAAUGAUUUAGUGCCUUAUUUAAUUUGUUCCUCUAGGAGUCCUGUGCACUUAUCUUGGGGGAAACAUUGUUCCAUUCUUAGUAACAUGCCUGUUUGGCCUGUGGUCUGAGGUACUUACAACUUGCUGCAGUGUGGUAAAUGUGUCCCUUUUGAAACACUGUUCUGGGGACUUCAGAGAUGACGGACUGCAACCUACCACCUCAUAAAUGAGGGAUCUGAGGUACAAACUGGAACCCGGGUCUUCUGGGCUCAGAGAACUCUCCUCACUACAGCAGACUGCCUGUUUCCAUUUAGGGGAAUGAGAUGCUCUUUCAUAAAUGAUACCAAGUGCAAGAGAACUUAAGGCAGCUCCAAUCGAAGACUGUCUUGGCUGCUUCUGGAAACUACAGAUCACUACUCCCGAAGUCAAAAACGACUAGAACACAGCUUAAAAAUCAAGCCAUUUAAUUGUAUCUUUGAAGGUAAACAAUAUAUGGAGCUGGAUCACAACCCCUGAGGAUGCCAGAGCUAUGGGUCCAGAACAUGGUGUGGUAUUAUCAACAGAGUUCAGAAGGGUCUGAACUCUACGUGUUACCAGAGAACAUAAUGCAAUUCAUGCAUUCCACUUAGCAAUUUUGUAAAAUACCAGAAACAGACCCCAAGAGUCUUUCAAGAUGAGGAAAAUUCAACUCCUGGUUUUAGAGAUAAAUGAAUGAAGAGUACCAAAAUAUUUGUUGACUUCUCUUCAUUUUUCUCAUACAAUCUGAAGCCUGAGCUGACUAUCAUAUCCCCAACUCACAGCAGCGAAAGCUGCAGUUCAGAUUUGAGAUCAGUCUCCAUUCACUUCCACGUAGCACCACAGCAAGAGUGACCGGAGGCAGAGAGCUCUUGUUGGGUCAGCUUUCUAAUAAGCAUGUCAAGUGAAAAAGAACCCUCUAGCAGCACACUGAUUUAGUUUGUAAGAUUUUAAUUUACAAAUUAAAAAAGCUAUUUAAUAC
rnacentral:lncRNA from 10 species